GUCCCCUUAUCCCCUUAUUUGAUGUAUACAGGUUUCAAUUUUUUGAUCAGGAACAUACUAAAGCUUUGAUUUUUAUCUCAAAAAAAGCAGAGAUUUUUAUCACAACAGGUGCGAUUUUUUUGGUUAAUUGUUUGGGUGUUCCUAAUCCUUCUUCUACCUUGAUGGCGCUUUCUUUGUUUUCCCUCCCCGUGUUCUGCGUUUUUUUCCAUUUUGAUUUGUUGGGGUUUUUUUAAAUUAUUGCUUAAUCUUUUAUUCCGUGUUCUUUGUUAUGCAUUUUCUUCCAUUUCUCCUUUGCAUGUUGAUUGUUAUGUCCCCUUAUCCCCUUAUUUGAUGUAUACAGGUUUCAAUUUUUUAGUGUUCCUCAUAUUUAUUGGUCCGUAGUGGUGACUUUAUUUUCAUUUGGUUUGAACAUUACUUCCUUCACAGUUUAGAGUAUAUGUUAACAUAGCCUUUACAAUAUCAUUCAGGCAAUGUUAUGUUGCCCAAAUUCCUAUAUUUUUGUCAAUUUUGUCUCAGAUUAUUAAUUCAUUGGUGGGUUAUGUUCUGAAACAUAUUGGCCUUCGCAAUUUAAAGUAUAUAUUAACUUAGCCUUGACAAUAUCAUUCAGGUUAUGUUAUGUCUGUUGUGAAACAUAUUGGCUUUCAUUUUUUUACAUGUGCAAUGAUAACUUUUGCUUAUCUAAAUGAUAUAGUUUCUAAAGAGUUAUUUGUAGAUAAUAAUUUUGUUUUUUUUCGCAUGCCUGUCUAUCAUUAAUAAAUGAUACACCAACUUUGUUUGCUUUUGUAGCAGUGGUGCAUUUUGUAUCACCUACUUAUUAUUUGUGUGUGUAUUAUGUUGUUUAGUUAAAGUUGUUUAUAUUUUGGUAUAUCCUAACUGACAUUGGUUUUUAAUUUUGACCGAGACCAACAAACUACACGACUAAUAGUGUUCGGCAUUUCGAGUACAGUGGUUGUUAAUGUCAAAGUCACCGGCAAUGCUUCUAUUCUAAAGCAAUCCAAAUUCAAGUAUUAUAUCAAUCCAUAACCACACAGUAUCACCAACUUUUCACUCAUUUGUCGAAGAACAUCUCCAAACACAAAACACCAUGAAUACAUCAUCAUCGAGCACGUCUGAUGUUGGUCCGUCAAAUUUGCAGGUAUCAAUAAUUGUGCACCGAUUUGAGGCAUCAUUCCGUCUUGAGAAGGUCACAAUUUUCACACCUAAACAUUUAUCUAUUUAUGUUAAUCUCAAAUAAAUAAUAUGUUUAAAAUGUUAACAUGCAAAACGGCAUUGAGGUUCCUUUAUCUUAUCAUAGACAAUGGUCCCCAAAUUAUCCAACUUAUGUGCUAUUCGACUACAAAGGAAACAAGCACUUUAUAAAGCUUCAUAAAUAUGCUAACUGAUUCUUUUUUGGCGAUGGACUGAAGGAAUUUAGGAGAACCCAUGGCAUUUACGAAAGUGUUAUCAUGCAUUUUGUUGCAUGGGAUAAAAAUACUAAUUUCAAUGUGGACGUUGUGGGACCUCUACAUAGACAAACACACCAAAGGUCAACCACAACCACCAGGCCCCAUGUUUUUACCAUUGAUGUCUCUGAAGAUAUGAUACAACACAAUUAUCAAUUGGUUCUGCCACCAAAGGCUUCAAAUUAUUUAUCUGGAUCAAAAAAAUAUAUAAUUGUAGAUCGUGGUCGUGGUAGACUUUACGAAUGGAUGAUCACCAUGAAUAAUGGCCUAUCAUGUGUUGCUGAGUCCUAGAUCCAAUAUUUAGCUGACAGUCAUUUGAAGCCUAGAGAUGAGGUCGUCUUCUUCUACAACUUUGACCAACACUUAUGGGAAGUCCUCUAUAGGAAGCAAGUUAAAUGGAAUCAGGAAGAGGACGAAGCUGACUCCACUUGAAGAACUCUUUAAUUAUUUAUGUUUGUUUUAUUUUUAUAUAUUAUGUUUGUAACUUAAUUACCUUCAUGUAACGGACAAUUUUUUUUGUGUUUACUUUCUGUUGA